AUUGAACGCUGGCGGCAGGCCUAACACAUGCAAGUCGAACGGUAACAGGAAGCAGCUUGCUGCUUCGCUGACGAGUGGCGGACGGGUGAGUAAUGUCUGGGAAACUGCCUGAUGGAGGGGGAUAACUACUGGAAACGGUAGCUAAUACCGCAUAACGUCGCAAGACCAAAGAGGGGGACCUUCGGGCCUCUUGCCAGCGGAUGUGCCCAGAUGGGAUUAGCUAGUAGGUGGGGUAACGGCUCACCUAGGCGACGAUCCCUAGCUGGUCUGAGAGGAUGACCAGCCACACUGGAACUGAGACACGGUCCAGACUCCUACGGGAGGCAGCAGUGGGGAAUAUUGCACAAUGGGCGCAAGCCUGAUGCAGCCAUGCCGCGUGUAUGAAGAAGGCCUUCGGGUUGUAAAGUACUUUCAGCGGGGAGGAAGGCGACAGGGUUAAUAACCCUGUCGAUUGACGUUACCCGCAGAAGAAGCACCGGCUAACUCCGUGCCAGCCGCCGCCGUAA
rnacentral:rRNA from 1 species